GACAUGAAAAGCUUGCUUUUUAUGAGAUCUAGUGGCAAACGGGUGAGUAACACGUAAACAACCUGCCUUCAAGAUGGGGACAACAGACGGAAACGACUGCUAAUACCGAAUACGAUCCGAAAGUCGCAUGACAUUUGGAUGAAAGGGUGGCCUAUCGAAGAAGCUAUCGCUUGAAGAGGGGUUUGCGUCCGAUUAGGUAGUUGGUGAGGUAACGGCCCACCAAGCCGACGAUCGGUAGCCGGUCUGAGAGGAUGAACGGCCACACUGGAACUGAGACACGGUCCAGACUCCUACGGGAGGCAGCAGUGGGGAAUCUUCCGCAAUGGACGAAAGUCUGACGGAGCAACGCCGCGUGAGUGAAGACGGCCUUCGGGUUGUAAAGCUCUGUGAUUCGGGACGAAAGGCCAUAUGUGAAUAAUAUAUGGAAAUGACGGUACCGUAAAAGCAAGCCACGGCUAACUACGUGCCAGCAGCCGCGGUAAUACGUAGGUGGCAAGCGUUGUCCGGAAUUAUUGGGCGUAAAGCGCGCGCAGGCGGUCUCUUAAGUCCAUCUUAGAAGUGCGGGGCUUAACCCCGUGAGGGGAUGGAAACUGGGAGACUGGAGUAUCGGAGAGGAAAGUGGAAUUCCUAGUGUAGCGGUGAAAUGCGUAGAUAUUAGGAAGAACACCGGUGGCGAAGGCGACUUUCUGGACGAAAACUGACGCUGAGGCGCGAAAGCGUGGGGAGCCAACAGGAUUAGAUACCCUGGUAGUCCACGCCGUAAACGAUGGAUACUAGGUGUAGG
rnacentral:rRNA from 1 species